AAGCAAAAUUCCCCAAAUUCCUGGGCUUAAUUUCCCAUGGAAAAUUUCAGACCCUUUGCAACAACUAGUGGUGAGUUUAGAGGGCGCUAUGGUAUUGAAGGUUGAGCUGUAGUCGAUGAACAGCAUCGUCACGUAUGCAUUUCUGUUGUCCAGGUGGGUGAGGGCAGUGGGCAGUGCAAUGGCAAUGGAUCUGUCGGGGCGGUCAUCGAAUUGGAGAGGGUCGAGUGUGUUGGGGAGGGGAGGGAGGAGAUGAUUUGGUCUUCGACUAGCCUCUCAAAGCAUUUCAUGGGUCGAUAGUCAUUUAGUUCAAUUACUUUCCUUUUCUUGGGCAUUUUUAUGAAAAUGUCAGAAAACACACCAACUAGUUGGUCUGCACAUGCUCUGAGGGUGCUCUGAUGCUGUCUUGGCCGGCAGCCUUACGAGCACGUAACCCUUGUUGUCCUCAGGGGCUCUCAUCGGCAGCUUAGUCGUUUUGCUUGAAACGUGAGAAAAAGGUGUUUACCUCGUCCGGUAGAGCGGUGUUGGUGUCCGCGACGUGACUGGCAUUCUUUUUGUAAUCUGCGAUUGUUAGAAGCCCUUGACACAUGUGCCUUCAUCCAAAGUUUUCACAUUCUAUGAUCAGAUUUCGUUGUUGGCAAUUACCUUUCUCUUAUGUCAACAUGGAUUUGAUUCGGGUGAAUGUAUUAUUAUUAUCCUGGCAAUCUUUCAUAGAUAGGUGAGGUCACAGUUAAACCUUUACUUAGUGUUUUGCCAGAGAUUAUAAUGCCCUACAUAGAAGUAUCUGACCUGACUUUGAACAAAGACACAUUUCCCUCCGUACCACAGGACGGCGCAGUAGAGCUUUGAUCAACAUAACUGUGCUCUUUUCAUCCGGAGAGAACCUAAGCGUCACCAAAGAUUUGUUUAACUAACCCUCGUUGUUCUAGCUCUGGCGUCACGUGACAAAGCUGCAAAAUCAAAACAAUUCUCUCUAUUUAUCUGUAUAAACAAUGUAACCAGCUCCUGAAUUCAUUUACUAAUUGAUUUAAUUUCAGGUGACGUAAGUUAAAUAAUCAAUAGGUCCAUCUCUCUUCCAAUAACAUUGGCGAAAGAAGAACUGCACACGUGUUAAUGAAUAAACGAACAAGUGCAGGGGACCAACGACAGCAGUGUGCUCAGUAAGGUGUCUGCUGUAGCUCAGCGUUACUUCCUGGAUGACUACCUGAAGCAGUUUGUGUUUAAGGAGUUUAGGAGAUCCCCUCUUAUCAACAGGGGUUACUAUGGGGUUACUAUGUACGCUGGAGAGCUGUAGACCACUGUGUCAAGCCGUUUCUGUGGCUGACAGAAUGCUGCCCCAGGAGACAGGUGUUGUAGAGCUGUAGAGUUGAGAUCCUGGAACCAGUUGAUGAAUUUGAGGUGAGUUACUCUAAUCUAAUCGGUCCUGACUAGCCUGUCCAAUGACCGUGCUGAUGUACUUCAGUCUCAACUCAUCAGAGAGAAGCACAGCAUUGGAAACUGUCAUUUAAAAAAAAAAAGUAUUUGGACCAUAUUUUCCAUGUCUCUUUUUGUGUAGAAAUGCUCUCCUCACUGCCUCCAUAGUCUCCCUGACCAGCCCUGCUGUGCUGUGGGUACACACCAUGCUCUGCUGUGGGUUCACACCAUGCUCUGCUGUGGGUUCACACCAUGCUCUGCUGUGGGUUCACACCAUGCUCUGCUGUGGGUACAAUGUACAAUAGCUAGCUAUGUAAUGCCCAUGUUUUAGUCUUGUACAGUAGCUAGCUAUGUAAUGCCCAUGUUUUAGUCUUGUACAGUAGCUAGCUAUGUAAUGCCCAUGUUUUAGUCUUGUACCGUAUGCAUUUAUUUUCUCCGCUGCUGAUUGACAUACUUCAUUAUCCCCCUGAGGUGUGAAAUGUAUCUAUUUAAUACAUAUAUUUUAGUGCCGCCUACAGUUAACUUCAGCCAUUUAUUCUUCCAUUCUGUCUUUUCAUUUCAUUCAACACUAAUGCCAGUAUCAUCACAGAGAUUGUGGGAUGUCUGACAUGUCCUCCCCUGUGACGACCCCCAUAGUGUCCCCUCCCCCAAGGUCAGCGCUGAGCCCUCUCUCCCUGGUGGUGAAGCCCAUGCAUGGGGAGCUGUGUGUGGAGGGUCUGAGGAUGGCCUCUACCCUUACUGGGUCUUGGGCUGGUGCUGCUCAGUGGGGGGUUCGGGUAGAGGGCCUGCAGCUUGGAUCCUCAUCAGAGCCAAUGGUGGUUGAUGAUGUGUUUGUGUGGAGUCAUCUAUGGACUGGGGUCAGAGGGCUGAAUGGAUCUGACUGGGGUCAGAUGGCUGAAUGGAUCUGACUGGGGUCAGACUGGCCGAAUGGAUCAGACUGGGGUCAGACGGGCUGAAUGGAUCUGACUGGGGUCAGAGGAACGAAUGGAUCUGACUGGGGUCAGAGGAACGAAUGGAUCUGACUGGGGUCA